rnacentral:rRNA from 1 species
AUUGAACGCUGGCGGCAUGCUUUACACAUGCAAGUCGAACGGCAGCGCGGGCUUCGGCCUGGCGGCGAGUGGCGAACGGGUGAGUAAUACAUCGGAACGUGCCCAGUAGUGGGGGAUAGCUCGGCGAAAGCCGGAUUAAUACCGCAUGCGACCUGAGGGUGGAAGCGGGGGAUCUUCGGACCUCGCGCUAUUGGAGCGGCCGAUGGCAGAUUAGCUAGUUGGUGGGGUAAAGGCCUACCAAGGCGACGAUCUGUAGCUGGUCUGAGAGGACGACCAGCCACACUGGAACUGAGACACGGCCCAGACUCCUACGGGAGGCAGCAGUGGGGAAUUUUGGACAAUGGGCGAAAGCCUGAUCCAGCAAUGCCGCGUGUGUGAUGAAGGCCUUCGGGUUGUAAAGCACUUUUGGCGGGAACGAAAAGGACUGUGCCAAUACCACGGUUCGAUGACGGUACCCGCAGAAUAAGCACCGGCUAACUACGUG